GGGGGAUCUUCGGACCUCGCGCUAGAAGAUGAGCCUGCGUUGGAUUAGCUAGUUGGUAGGGUAAAGGCCUACCAAGGCGACGAUCCAUAGCUGGUCUGAGAGGGCGAUCAGCCACACUGGGACUGAGACACGGCCCAGACUCCUACGGGAGGCAGCAGUGGGGAAUAUUGGACAAUGGGCGAAAGCCUGAUCCAGCAAUACCGCGUGUGUGAAGAAGGCCUGAGGGUUGUAAAGCACUUUCAAUUGGGAGGAAUACCUAUCGGUCAAUACCCGGUAGCUUGACAUUACCUUUAGAAGAAGCACCGGCUAACUCCGUGCCAGCAGCCGCGGUAAUACGGAGGGUGCGAGCGUUAAUCGGAAUUACUGGGCGUAAAGCGUGCGUAGGCGGUUAGUUAAGUCAGAUGUGAAAGCCCCGGGCUUAACCUGGGAACUGCAUUUGAUACUGGCUAACCAGAGUUUAAGAGAGGGGAGUGGAAUUUCAGGUGUAGCGGUGAAAUGCGUAGAGAUCUGAAGGAACACCAGUGGCGAAGGCGACUCCCUGGCUUAAAACUGACGCUGAGGUACGAAAGCGUGGGUAGCAAACAGGAUUAGAUACCCUGGUAGUCCACGCCGUAAACGAUGUCAACUAGC
rnacentral:rRNA from 1 species